AAUUCGAUUGAGUUUGAUCAUGGCUCAGGACGAACGCUGGCGGCGUGCUUAACACAUGCAAGUCGAACGGUGAAGCCCCUUCGGGGGUGGAUCAGUGGCGAACGGGUGAGUAACACGUGGGCAACCUGCCCCUAGCUCUGGGAUAACCCCGGGAAACCGGGGCUAAUACCGGAUAUGACCUCGAUUGGCAUCUUUCGAGGUGGAAAGUUUUUCGGCUAGGGAUGGGCCCGCGGCCUAUCAGCUUGUUGGCGGGGUAACGGCCCACCAAGGCGACGACGGGUAGCCGGCCUGAGAGGGCGACCGGCCACACUGGGACUGAGACACGGCCCAGACUCCUACGGGAGGCAGCAGUGGGGAAUAUUGCGCAAUGGGCGAAAGCCUGACGCAGCGACGCCGCGUGAGGGACGAAGGCCUUCGGGUUGUAAACCUCUUUCAGCAGGGACGAAGCGAAAGUGACGGUACCUGCAGAAGAAGCACCGGCCAACUACGUGCCAGCAGCCGCGGUAAUACGUAGGGUGCAAGCGUUGUCCGGAAUUAUUGGGCGUAAAGAGCUCGUAGGCGGUCUGUCGCGUCGGCUGUGAAAACCCGAGGCUCAACCUCGGGCCUGCAGUCGAUACGGGCAGACUAGAGUUCGGUAGGGGAGACUGGAAUUCCUGGUGUAGCGGUGAAAUGCGCAGAUAUCAGGAGGAACACCGGUGGCGAAGG
rnacentral:rRNA from 1 species